AAUUGACGGGGCCCGCACAAGCGGUGGAGCAUGUGGUUUAAUUCGACGCAACGCGAAGAACCUUACCAGGGCUUGACAUCUUCUGACCGCUUAAGGAAACUUAAGCUUUCCGGAAGGUUUACUUUUCUGGACAGAAAGACAGGUGGUGCAUGGUUGUCGUCAGCUCGUGUCGUGAGAUGUUGGGUUAAGUCCCGCAACGAGCGCAACCCCUACGGUUAGUUGCUAACGGGUAAGGCCGAGCACUUUAGCCGAACUGCCGUUGACAAAACGGAGGAAGGCGGGGAUGACGUCAAAUCAUCAUGCCCUUUAUGUCCUGGGCUACACACGUGCUACAAUGGUCUGUACAAAGGGCAGCAAAGGGGCGACCCGGAGCAAAUCCCAAAAAACAGGUCUCAGUUCGGAUUGCAGGCUGCAACUCGCCUGCAUGAAGGCGGAAUCGCUAGUAAUCGCAGGUCAGCAUACUGCGGUGAAUACGUUCCCGGGCCUU
rnacentral:rRNA from 1 species